rnacentral:rRNA from 1 species
GUCCUGGCAGUAAACGGUGCACGCUUGGUGUGGGAGGGUUCGACCCCUUCCGUGCCGAAGCUAACGCGUUAAGCGUGCCGCCUGGGGAGUACGGCCGCAAGGCUAAAACUCAAAGAAAUUGACGGGGACCCGCACAAGCGGUGGAGCAUGUGGCUUAAUUCGAUGCAACGCGAAGAACCUUACCUGGGCUUGACAUGCAAGUCGUAUCCCGUCGAAAGGCGGGAGUCAGUUCGGCUGGACUUGCACAGGUGCUGUAUGGCUGUCGU